rnacentral:rRNA from 1 species
AUUGAACGCUGGCGGCAUGCCUUACACAUGCAAGUCGAACGGCAGCACGGGUGCUUGCACCUGGUGGCGAGUGGCGAACGGGUGAGUAAUACAUCGGAACGUACCUUAUCGUGGGGGAUAACGCAGCGAAAGCUGUGCUAAUACCGCAUACGCCCUGAGGGGGAAAGCGGGGGAUCGCAAGACCUCGCGCGAUUAGAGCGGCCGAUGCCUGAUUAGCUAGUUGGUGGGGUAAAAGCCCACCAAGGCGACGAUCAGUAGCUGAUGUGAGAGCAUGAUCAGCCACACGGGCACUGAGACACGGGCCCGACUCCUACGGGAGGCAGCAGUAAGGAAUAUUGGACAAUGGACGCAAGUCUGAUCCAGCCAUGCCGCGUGAGGGAUUAAGGUCCUCUGGAUUGUAAACUUCUUUUAUAAGGGACGAAAAAAGGCUUUUCUAAGUCGUCUGACGGUACCUUAUGAAUAAGCACCGGCUAACUCCGUGCCAGCAGCCGCCGUAA